rnacentral:rRNA from 1 species
UCCAGCCUGCCCAGUGACAAAAUUAAACGGCCGCGGUACCCUAACCGUGCGAAGGUAGCAUAAUCACUUGUUCUUUAAAUGAGGACCAGUAUCAACGGCAUCACGAGGAUCCUACUGUCUCCCCUCUCUAAUCAGUGAAACUGAUCUCUCCGUGAAGAAGCGGGGAUAUACAUAUAAGACGAGAAGACCCCAUGGAGCUUUAAACCCAACAGCACCCGCCCAUUCCAUGCCCUCUUAUAUACUCGGUGUCUGUCUGUUCGGCUUUAGGUUGGGGUGACCGCGGAGCAUAAGACAGCCUCCAUGAAAAAAGGGACAUUCCCUGAUUUAAGAAUUACACUUCCAAAAACUAAAAAAUUAAUUUAAGUGAUCCGACUUAGUAUUCGAUCAACGAACCAAGUUACCCUGGGGAUAACAGCGCAAUCCGCCCCGAGAGCCCCUAUCGACAGGCGGGUUUACGACCUCGAUGUUGGAUCAGGGUAUCCCAGUGGUGCAGCAGCUACCAAAGGUUCGUUUGUUCAACGAUUAAAACCCU